AGGACGAACGCUGGCGGCGUGCUUAACACAUGCAAGUCGAGCGGAAAGGCCCUUCGGGGUACUCGAGCGGCGAACGGGUGAGUAACACGUGAGCAACCUACCCUUAGCUUCGGGAUAGCUCCGGGAAACCGGAAUUAAUACCGAAUAUGACUUUGGCUGACAUCAGCAGAAGUGGAAAGUUUUUCGGCUAGGGAUGGACUCGCGGCCUAUCAGCUAGUUGGUGAGGUAACGGCCCACCAAGGCGACGACGGGUAGCCGGCCUGAGAGGGCGACCGGCCACACUGGGACUGAGACACGGCCCAGACUCCUACGGGAGGCAGCAGUGGGGAAUAUUGCGCAAUGGGCGAAAGCCUGACGCAGCGACGCCGCGUGGGGGAUGAAUGCCUUCGGGUUGUAAACCCCUUUCAGCAGGGACGAAGCGAAAGUGACGGUACCUGCAGAAGAAGCGCCGGCUAACUACGCGCCAGCAGCCGC
rnacentral:rRNA from 1 species